CUUCCCAUUUGACUACUACUUAUUCGAAUUACAGAAUAAGUGGCUAUGCUUAUGGGAUAGAGAAAAAACUGCCAAAGUCUGAAGGAGAAGAUUGAUCAUAUCUUUUUUCCUAUAUGAAAUGGCAGAACAUGAUAUA
rnacentral:snoRNA from 1 species